rnacentral:lncRNA from 1 species
UAGCCCACCAGUCUGGUAGGUAGCAUUCAGUUCUUCCAUGUCUUUUCCUGUCAACUGUUGAGGUCUUUCUUCUGAAACAAAGAAGAAAUAGACAAACCAGACUUGUCUUCUUGAAAAUGUGGUCCAGAUUUCUCUACUCCCAAGCUCCAAAAAA